rnacentral:lncRNA from 10 species
UAUUUAAGUUCAGGAACUUUGCAGAUCUCUUAUUAACUCUUCAGUUAAUAAUGAGGGCAGAUCACUGAAGCAUCACUCCUGAAUGUUCCUCUGUACCCUCAAUGUGCAUUUGCACUACCAGUGAUCUCAAGAAUUCUAGAAAAUGAAAACUGGAUUACCAUCACCAACGUCUAGGAACUGUGCAGAGUCCUAUGGCUAUUGAUAUCUAACAUCCUGGCUUCACUCACAUGGAUGAGCCCCACCUGGAAUGCCUAGAAGACGUGGGACAGCUGGAUCUCUCUCCACACGGUUUUUCAUUGUUGCCUCAGGUUCCAAUAAAAGCAAAAGCUGCAAGGUCUUCUGAGGCAAAGACUUAGAAAUACCACAAUGUUACUUCUGCUGCAUUCUGUUGAUAAAAGAAUCCCACAAUGCCAGCUUCAUUUAAAGGGGUAAAGAUAUAGAUUAUUCACCUUCGAUGGGAGGAACUGCAAAUGAUGUAAUUAGUGAUAAUUUUUAAUAUACUGUAAUGUAUUGACUUAUCUUUAAAAAAUGAAAAAAUAAACCAAAAACUAAAAGCAAAACAAAACUAUAAUAGAAAACAAUUGCUUCUGGAGGAGGAAUGCAAUGGGGAAAAGGUUAUAGAAACAAAAGCUACAUUUUAUUUGAAUAUACCUGUUUUAGGUUUGACCCUGGUAACAUUUGAUAUUUUACAUAAUUAUAUCAUUAUUUAAAAUUAAAUUUUAAAACACCAAUACCCAUAACAGAAAAGUUUGAUAAAAGAGGUGAAAUAUAAAUAUAAAUAUAUUAAGUUUGCAUUAUAAUCACACAGAGAUGAAUUGUGUCAGUUACUCAAACACAGAUAUUUGACUAUACAACCUUUAUAAGAUAUCCUAAGGACAAAAAAACAUGCAAAAAUAUAUAUUGAACUGUUUUAAAAUUAUAUUUUUUUGCAAUUGAAUUGUUAUUGUGAGACAGGUGUGUACAUAUUUUAAGAUCAAGCAAGUUAGUAAGCUUGUUGACAUUAUUGUAAAUGGGAUUUGUCCCAUGGGGUAAAGAAGAUAUAAUAGCAAGUAGAAGAAAAUAAAUGAAAACCCAUUAAUAUGAGUUUGAAGUUAAAGUAUCAGUAUGAAGUCAUGAAGCAUUUUCCCAACAAAAAGAAAAAAAUAGUUUCCUAGUUCUAAUCACUUAAAAGUAUAUAGAAACAACAUAAAACUCAAUAUCAAGAGGAAAUGUAACUCAGAUGUGCUCUGUAGACAUUUCCCCUAAAAGGAGUUGAAGUUCAUUGCAAACAAGUAUCUAAUUCCAGCUUGGGGUUUGAAUAUUGUACAAGAUGGGCCUGGAAUAUCAAAUUCUCUUACUAAAAAGCAAGGCAGAUUUGAAAGACUAUUAGGAUGCAUCAAAGAGACUCAGAGGAGUCACCCUGAAGAGGUUACCAUUGGCCAAAGGUAAAAAUUUGAGAAUCAAUAAGAAAAUCAAAGGCAGUAGAUUAAAAUGCCUCAAAUAUGCUUAAAUCUAUCUGUUCCUAAUAAUGUUAAUUUAAAAAUAAUGUUGUCAUUGGACAGCUUUGAAGAAUGUUAGGGAUCCAUAAGAAUGUACAGUUUUGAAUUAAAGAGAAGAAUUGAGCAUUUAUCCUGUUUUUCCUUUAUGGAUUAUGUCUAAGGAUAACCAAAUGUUGAUGACAGAAAAUCCUUUUUAAAGAUACCUUUAGCCAAAGAAUGAAGAAAGAAUGAUAGAAUUGAAAUGUUACCAUUUUUGCAACCCCUAAUGAAAUAAUGAAUCUAGCCAGUUGUUAUCAAUUGUUGCUAACAUAAAAAAUGAGAGACAAACAGACACGCCUCUUCAUAGAAGUAUAUGAUACCACCUAUAAAAUAUUACUGCCAGAAAAAAAAAUCAAACUUUGGAUCUAAUUACCAAUUAGAUCAGCCUUUAGCUCUAACAACCAAUUUGCAAUAUUUACAGGAGAUACAGGAGCAUGUUGAAUGACACCAUAAAAAGGCAAUCAGUAAAAUUUAGUUUAUUAUAAACUAUAUAGGAUAAGUGAUCCAGUUGCUGCAAUAAAUAUAUUACAGAAGGUGUGUAUUGGCGGGUGGGAGAUAAAGGAGCAAUCUAUAGAUAAAAACAGACUUAAGGGACAUAAAAACAACUUUAAUGUAUGGAUCUUAUUUGGAUCCUUAAGAAAACAAAUUGUAAAGUAGCAUGAGACAUUUGAAGAAAAUAGAAAUAGUUUUUAAGUGUGGUAAUGAUAUCGUGGUUAUACGUUGUUAAAGAAUGCCUUUAGAGGUAAAUACAGAAAUAUUUGCAGAUGAACUAAAAUGAUGUCUAGAAUUUACAUAAAAGUAAUCCUGUAGGGAGAGUGAAGAAGUGGAAAGAGUGGAUAUUGAUAGGCAAGAGUAGCUAUAAUUUGACCACUGCUGAAUGUUGUUGAUGGAUAAAUGAAAAUGUAUUAUAUAUUUUUUUACUUAUAUAUUUGAAGAUUUUGAUUUUUAAUAAAGUGAAGCUGAGAAAGGGAAAAUCAUUUUUCUUGAUGUCAGGCUUUGAACAGAGAUAAAAGUAAAACCACUGUAGACCAAAGUGGAAAAAUAAAAAGCAAACAUAAACUUUUAUGCUUUCAGCUCUCUAUUACUGGCUUGUAUUUUUUUUUUAAUCUUUAUUUUAAGUUCCAGGGUACAUGUGCAGGAUGUGCAGGUUUGUUGCUUUUGUAAAUGUGUGCCAUGGUGGUUUGCUACAUCUAUCAACCCAUCAUCUAGGUAUUAAGCCCAGAAUGCAUUACCUAUUUUUCCUAAUGCUCUCCCUCCCCCCACUCUACCCCCCAACAGGUCCCAGGAUGUGUUAUUUCCUUCCCCGUGUGCAUGUGUUCUUAUUGUUCAGUUCCCACAUAAAAGUGAGAACAUAUGGUGUUUGGUUUUCUAUUUCUGCAUUAGUUUGCUGAGGAUAAUGGAUUCUAGAUCCAUUCAUGGCCCUGCAAAGGACAUGAUCUCAUUCCUUUUUAUGGCUGCAUAGUAUUCCAUGGUGUACAGGUACUUUUGAUUGCCUAUUUCAUUUACUUAAACAUAUUCAACCUUUCAAAAAAAUAUUGUUGGUACUUGAAAAUUACAAUAAA